UACGUAGGGUGCGAGCGUUGUCCGGAAUUACUGGGCGUAAAGAGCUCGUAGGUGGUUUGUCGCGUUGUUCGUGAAAACCGGGGGCUUAACCCUCGGCGUGCGGGCGAUACGGGCAGACUGGAGUACUGCAGGGGAGACUGGAAUUCCUGGUGUAGCGGUGGAAUGCGCAGAUAUCAGGAGGAACACCGGUGGCGAAGGCGGGUCUCUGGGCAGUAACUGACGCUGAGAAGCGAAAGCAUGGGGAGCGAACAGG
rnacentral:rRNA from 1 species